AAACCAAUCCAGCUUGCUGGGUCUUGGGCUUUCGCCCCUGGGCGGGCCUCAAAAUUAGUGGCGGUGCUGCCAGGCUCUAAGCGUAGUAAUUCUUCUCGCUACAGGGUCCUGGCGGAGGCUUGCCAUCAACCCCAAAUAUUUCAAA
rnacentral:misc_RNA from 1 species